rnacentral:rRNA from 1 species
CCUACGGGGGGCAGCAGUGAGGAAUAUUGGUCAAUGGAUGAGAGUCUGAACCAGCCAAGUAGCGUGAAGGAUGACUGCCCUAUGGGUUGUAAACUUCUUUUAUAUGGGAAUAAAACGUUCCACGUGUGGGAUUUUGUAUGUACCAUAUGAAUAAGGAUCGGCUAACUCCGUGCCAGCAGCCGCGGUAAUACGGAGGAUCCGAGCGUUAUCCGGAUUUAUUGGGUUUAAAGGGAGCGUAGGGGGAUUGUUAAGUCAGUUGUGAAAGUUUGCGGCUCAACCGUAAAAUUGCAGUUGAAACUGGCAGUCUUGAGUACAGUAGAGGUGAGCGGAAUUCGUGGUGUAGCGGUGAAAUGCUUAGAUAUCACGAAGAACUCCGAUUGCGAAGGCAGUUCACUGGACUGCAACUGACACUGAGGCUCGAAAGUGUGGGUAUCAAACAGGAUUAGAUACCCGAGUAGUC